rnacentral:rRNA from 1 species
CGAAUAGGGGAGCCGAAGGGAAACCGAGUCUUAACUGGGCGUUAAGUUGCAGGGUAUAGACCCGAAACCCGGUGAUCUAGCCAUGGGCAGGUUGAAGGUUGGGUAACACUAACUGGAGGACCGAACCGACUAAUGUUGAAAAAUUAGCGGAUGACUUGUGGCUGGGGGUGAAAGGCCAAUCAAACCGGGAGAUAGCUGGUUCUCCCCGAAAGCUAUUUAGGUAGCGCCUCGUGAAUUCAUCUCCGGGGGUAGAGCACUGUUUCGGCAAGGGGGUCAUCCCGACUUACCAACCCGAUGCAAACUGCGAAUACCGGAGAAUGUUAUCACGGGAGACACACGGCGGGUGCUAACGUCCGUCGUGAAGAGGGAAACAACCCAGACCGCCAGCUAAGGUCCCAAAGUCAUGGUUAAGUGGGAAACGAUGUGGGAAGGCCCAGACAGCCAGGAUGUUGGCUUAGAAGCAGCCAUCAUUUAAAGAAAGCGUAAUAGCUCACUGGUCGAGUCGGCCUGCGCGGAAGAUGUAACGGGGCUAAACCAUGCACCGAAGCUGCGGCAGCGACACUAUGUGUUGUUGGGUAGGGGAGCGUUCUGUAAGCCUGUGAAGGUGUGCUGUGAGGCAUGCUGGAGGUAUCAGAAGUGCGAAUGCUGACAUAAGUAACGAUAAAGCGGGUGAAAAGCCCGCUCGCCGGAAGACCAAGGGUUCCUGUCCAACGUUAAUCGGGGCAGGGUGAGUCGACCCCUAAGGCGAGGCCGAAAGGCGUAGUCGAUGGGAAACAGGUUAAUAUUCCUGUACUUGGUGUUACUGCGAAGGGGGGACGGAGAAGGCUAUGUUGGCCGGGCGACGGUUGUCCCGGUUUAAGCGUGUAGGCUGGUUUUCCAGGCAAAUCCGGAAAAUCAAGGCUGAGGCGUGAUGACGAGGCACUACGGUGCUGAAGCAACAAAUGCCCUGCUUCCAGGAAAAGCCUCUAAGCAUCAGGUAACAUCAAAUCGUACCCCAAACCGACACAGGUGGUCAGGUAGAGAAUACCAAGGCGCUUGAGAGAACUCGGGUGAAGGAACUAGGCAAAAUGGUGCCGUAACUUCGGGAGAAGGCACGCUGAUAUGUAGGUGAAGUCCCUCGCGGAUGGAGCUGAAAUCAGUCGAAGAUACCAGCUGGCUGCAACUGUUUAUUAAAAACACAGCACUGUGCAAACACGA